rnacentral:rRNA from 1 species
CAGUCGCCGCGGUAAUACGGAGGGGGCUAGCGUUGUUCGGAAUUACUGGGCGUAAAGCGCACGUAGGCGGAUAUUUAAGUCAGGGGUGAAAUCCCGCAGCUCAACUGCGGAACUGCCUUUGAUACUGGGUAUCUUGAGUAUGGAAGAGGUUAGUGGAAUUGCGAGUGUAGAGGUGAAAUUCGUAGAUAUUCGCAGGAACACCAGUGGCGAAGGCGGCUAACUGGUCCAUAACUGACGCUGAGGUGCGAAAGCGUGGGGAGCAAACAGGAUUAGAGACCCCGGUAGUCCCUGUCUCUUAUAC